rnacentral:lncRNA from 10 species
CCGGACUUUGCGGGCGGGCGGGCACUGGUGAGAAGAGGAAGUGGGAGAGGCCUGGGAAGGAAACUUGGAAACCGAAAACUCGGCGGCCGAGGCUCCGUGCCCCGCGCGCAGCGCUGCUCCUGCCCCGGCCAAGGACGCACGGGCCAGCCGGCGGAACCAGAGGUUUUCAGUGAUGUUGAGAGUCAACAGGAAAUUAAUCAGCAAGUAGAAAAUUGAAAGAAGAUCUGCAUCUUACUGCAGGAGUCAUUAAAAUAAAAGCAGAUUUGGCAAAAUGGCAAGAACCAGAGGAUGAGGAUGUAAAACAAAAACUUUUGGAGUCAUUUUGCCACCAGGAUGAAAAUAGGAUGAAGCUGACAUGACAAAGGUGCAGGUGACAGCUUCUACCUUAUGAUCUGCGUUCCAGUCAGCGGGAAGGAGAUGGGGUGGGAAUGUGAUAAACCACUUCCCUUGAAGGACAUUUUCCAGAAGACACAAUGGCAAUGAAUGGACCACACCAAAUCUACAGUGAAUAUGCAGCAAGAGACCUGAGCCAAGUAACCCCAGCACAGUCUGAGAUGUGCAAGGCAGAAGCAAAUUUAAGGAGAAUGAAACGGAAAGCAAGGCCCAAUUAAAAUCCAAAUGAACAGGAAGCACGAUGCAAAAGCAAACUUGGAAAAAGCCAAGGCGAGAGAGGAACACUUUGGAAGAAGCACAGUUAUGGCAAAGGAGCUAUCCUGUACCAACACGAAGGAGAGAGUGGUAAAGGACCCCACAGAAAUGGAGGGAAUGAUAUUGACACAAAAAUGGCAACAAGAUCUAACUCCAGCGUCAAACUGAAGUAACAGCAGCUGCAGCAACUAAGGGACAGCAGUGUUCCAUCUCAUGUCAGGCUCCCUGCUGUUGGCAGCAGCUUGCUGGCUUCUACAUUAGAUUUUGGAGACAAAGAAAUAAAGGCAUUCUUCUGGAGAAUGGGUGAAGAGCCUUAGUUAUAAAUUUCUCUCCUUCACCUGCUUUGCAGGGUCUCAAAAUUAUGGCCUUCAAAGUGCCAUCCAUAGCCUGCUGACUGGUUUAGUAAGCUGAAUGAAUCAGGGUUCUGCAGAGAAAACAGAUUCAAUAGAACCAAUAUACAAAGAGAUUCACUGGAAGUUAUUGGAACAAAAUUAUGGAGGCUGAAAAAUUCCGUGAUCUGCUGUCUGCAAGCUGGAGACCUAGGAGAGCCGGUGGUGUAGUUCAAAAGCCUGAAAGCCUGACAGUUAAUGGUGUAGCUUCCAGCCUGCAUCUGAAGGACGGAGAUCCAAGAGGGCUGGGGGCCAGAGAAGAUCGAUAUCCCAGCUCAUACAGUCAAGCAGAUACCAAAUUUAAUCUUCUUCUGUCUUUUUGUUCCAUACUCACUGCAUUGGAUGAUGCCCGCCACCCAUCCCUUGCCCCAAAUUAGAAAGGACCAUCUGCUUUACUCGGUCCACCAACUU